rnacentral:rRNA from 1 species
GCAAAAGAAGUAGGUAGCUUAACCUUCGGGGGGGCGCUUACCAAUUUGUGAUUCAUGACUGGGGUGAAGUCGUAACAAGGUAACCGUAGGGGAACCUGCGGUUGGAUCACCUCCUUACCUUAAAGAAGC